CCGGCGGCCGCGGUCUCGCAGCCUCCGGACCAGCCAUGUCUCUCGGCGGAGCCUCCGAGCGCAGUGUCCCGGCCACCAAGAUUGAAAUCACCGUGUCCUGCCGGAAUCUGCUGGACCUCGACACCUUCUCCAAGUCCGACCCCAGUAGGCGGCGCCAGGGCCGGGAGGGGGAACUUGGGGUCCGGGUGCGGCUGAGGGGCGGGGGGGAGAAGAACAAAAAGGUGCGGCGCGACCUGACGCCCCCGCCCCCCGCAGUGGUGGUGCUGUACACGCAAAGCCGGGCCAGCCAGGAGUGGCGGGAGGUGAGUCCGAGAGCCCCUGCCGGCCCGAGCCGCCCGGGAAUCACCUGCCCUCCUGCAGCCCCGCGCUGACCCUCUCCGCCUCCCGCCCAGUUCGGACGAACGGAGGUGAUCGACAACACGCUGAACCCGGACUUCCUGCGCAAAUUCGUCCUCGACUAUUUUUUUGAAGAAAAGCAAAAUCUGCGCUUCGAUGUGUGAGGCCCCGCCCAGAAUCACGGCUUGGCCCGCCCCCGACCUGGAAUCCUGGCUGGGCGGGGCCGCGCCUGCGCCCUAGCUCCGCCCCCAGCUC
rnacentral:lncRNA from 1 species